rnacentral:rRNA from 1 species
GACGAACGCUGGCGGCGUGCUUAACACAUGCAAGUCGAACGGUAAGGCCCUUCGGGGUACACGAGUGGCGAACGGGUGAGUAACACGUGGGUGAUCUGCCCUGCACUUCGGGAUAAGCCUGGGAAACUGGGUCUAAUACCGGAUAGGACCACUGCCUGCAUGGGUGGUGGUGGAAAGCUUUUGCGGUGUGGGAUGGGCCCGCGGCCUAUCAGCUUGUUGGUGGGGUGAUGGCCUACCAAGGCGACGACGGGUAGCCGGCCGGAGAGGGUAACCGGCCACACGGGGACUGAGAUACGGCCCAGACUCCUACGGGAGGCAGCAGUGGGGAAUAUUGCUCAAUGGGCGCAAGCCUGAAGCAGCGACGCCGCGUGAGGGAUGACGGCCUUCGGGUUGUAAACCUCUUUCAGCACCGACGAAGCGCAAGUGACGGUAGGUGCAGAAGAAGGACCGGCCAACUACGUGCCAGCCGCCGCGGUAA